CCCUGGCUCAGGACGAACGCUGGCGGCAUGCCUAAUACAUGCAAGUCGAGCGGAGUUUGAAUGGAAGCUUGCUUCCAUUCUUACUUAGCGGCGGACGGGUGAGUAACACGUAGGCAACCUGCCCUCAAGACUGGGAUAACUACCGGAAACGGUAGCUAAUACCGGAUAAUUUCUUUCCUCUCCUGAAGAGAGAAUGAAAGGCGGAGCAAUCUGCCACUUGGGGAUGGGCCUGCGGCGCAUUAGCUAGUUGGUGGGGUAACGGCUCACCAAGGCGACGAUGCGUAGCCGACCUGAGAGGGUGAACGGCCACACUGGGACUGAGACACGGCCCAGACUCCUACGGGAGGCAGCAGUAGGGAAUCUUCCGCAAUGGGCGAAAGCCUGACGGAGCAAUGCCGCGUGAGUGAUGAAGGUUUUCGGAUCGUAAAGCUCUGUUGCCAGGGAAGAACGUCCGGUAGAGUAACUGCUACCGGAGUGACGGUACCUGAGAAGAAAG
rnacentral:rRNA from 1 species